rnacentral:lncRNA from 1 species
AUAGGCAAACUCAUUGUAGCUAGACUAUACAAAGUAUAUCAAGAUAUGCCAAAUAUAGAGCUUAACUUCGCCUGUUUGAGAGACGGUGGUUCAGCUGACUUGUGGCUAAGAAUUACAAUUAACUGUGUGUAGUCAUUGAUAAUUUUCGUGAAUGCUGUGUUGGUGGGGUAAUGGGCCUGCAAAUAACAUUGAAGUGGGUACAGGAUUGCUGGAGAUGAUGAAAUGGCAUCCUCAAGCAGACAAUUCUUCCAAGUUUAACUGUGGAUGAGAGACACAUCAGAUGGUGUUUCUUUUAGCUUGCAACACCAUGAAAAAAUUACUGAGACGCUACGAAUGCUGUGAACUGAGAAAGUUUGGGACCUUUGGCAUAACUAAAUCCUGCAUUUAACAGUGUUGUGAACUACAUGUCAUGGGAUAACCAAAAUUAAACCUGAAAUCUCAGAAGAAACAAAUUGUUUGAAGAAAUUGGAUGUGAUUUUUUACAAUUUUUCAUUCAACUAAAACUUUGUGAACUGUUUUGUGGUUUUGGUCUUCUCUAAAUUUUAAUCUUUGGCAUUUACUUCCAAAGUGUCCCCCACUAAACUUCAUAACAUUUAUUGUAUCUCUUCGUCAUUAAACUUCGAUGAAUUUACAGAGUGUCUUUUAAUAUUAUGUUCUUGAGAAAGCUAAGUUCCCAAAAAAUCCCACCACCUCAGGAACAGAAUUUUCUAAAAUUGUUGUACCUACCUAACUUACCUAUUUUUGUCUAGAGUUAACUUGUCCUCAAAACAAAAUUAAUAUUGUAUUCCCCUUUGGACAAGGACACAUUAAACAUUUAGUGCAGCAUGCACAUUUUUCAGGGAUGUAGAAUCAUAAACAGUUAUUUAUAUACACUUCUUAUGACAUAGAGUGACUUUUACAAUGUGCUGUGCUAUUUAAAGGUAUAUGUUCACCACUACAUAUCAUACCUGUGAAAACAUUAUAGGUUAGCUUUGAUAAUUUAAAAUAUUUUUGCUACAGCCAGUAGCUCUAUUAAUGAUGAUAUGAAACUCUUGACAUCUUUGUUAU